AAGGAGGAGUCACCACCUGGGAGCGUUGUGGAUGACAAGAUCCUGGUCCAAGAGGAAGAAGAUCCAUCUGUCAAGUUGCAGAGCUACACCCGUGACUCCGGUGUGUGCACGCCCAAUGAUGUUGACUUCCAGCUGCUUCAACAAGAUGUGCCUGAGCCAUGUGAGGUUGUCGAGAUCGAAACCUGCAGCCAGGCACCAGGAGACAGUGAUCCCACCUCAGAAUCUGUCUACUCUUCCAACACAUCCAGAAAUUCUGAUGAAGGAGAAAUGCAUCAAAGCCAGAAGGAAGAUCUCGG